rnacentral:rRNA from 1 species
GACACCACUCGCCCGUCACUCUCUCUCUUUUUUUUCCCCCUUCCUUCUGGACGGGGAAGAAGAAGAAGGGGGUGGCGAGCGGACUCUGCGUGUUCCGGAGCUCUCCGACGCCUUCGGGUGUCGGGAAGCGCUCCGAGUGCACCGAAUCUCGUGAACGAAACCUCUCUUCUGUCUGUGGCCUUGGUUGCGCAGAGUUGUUGACGGCGCUCGUGCCCCAUCAAAUGGGCGCGGCGGCUCUCGGCUCGAUUAACGUGCGGCGAAGCGCCUUUGGGGAGGGGUUCCUUGUUUUUCCGGCGGACGGCCCCAGCGGCUGUUCCUCCGCGUUUUACUACUUUCGUUCG